AAGAUGCUGAAAUUCUUCGACCUAUGCUAGUUGUCUUGUAGGAAGCGUUGGAAAUACAUUUCAAACAAUUAUUGUCUUUUCAUAAAUUCUAGAAUAUUGUUUGAACUUUGAUGGGAUUUUAUUUUUCUUUUACAAAUUAGGAGCCUAUUCGUAUUUAUUUUGUCAAUUUUUUCUUUUAAAUUGAUUAUAUAACAGGAGAUAAUCUUCUCAAAUUUUAAUCAUUAAAAAAAAAAUCAUAUAGGUAAUCAAUUAGAAAAGAAUUCGUGAGAGCUGAUGUGCUAAAUUCUUAUAAGUUCCAAAUUUUAAAAAUGUGCCUCACUAUUUAAAUCCACUAGGCUUCAUCACUUUGUGUUGAAACUUGAGUCAAGGAAAAUUAUUUCUAUUAUUAAUCAUAUUGGGCCUUGCCCUCCAGCGAAUUGAUCAAAAUUUGCCCUCCACCUAAUUUUUCUUCAGUCCAAUUUGGUGGCUUUAAAACUCAAAAUUAUCUUUCUUCCUUGUUCCCAAAAAUUUUAAUAUGGAAAACCAUGAAAUUCUAAAAGCAACCAAAGUUGUGAUCCAUGCAAUAACACUCUACUUGGUGAAUUGUGGACUUGAAAGUCUUCAACAUUUCAUCGCCUCCUCCAACUAUGCAAACUCUUCAUCAGUUGAGAUUAUAUUUGGUAUUGUCUAUGGCAUCCAUGGCUACCUCUUGGCUAGCUUUGUUGUUCAACUAUUCAAAGAUAUCUUCAACGAAGUUCGAUUUGCCAUCCGUUUGUCCACUAGAAGGAGAGGUUUCGUCGUCGUCGUUAUCGAUAUAUUCAUCCUCGGAGUCAUCUUUAAGCUACAAUAUUUCGACAAACUACAGCACCUUCAAAAGCUGAAGAAGCAAACUUAGAGAAAUUUAGGAUUUUUUGUUGUGUUGCUGUAUUUGGAUUGUUGCAGACAUUUGCUUUUCUUUGGAUAAAUAAAGCACAGCUUAUCCAAUUUUUUUUUGUUGUGUUAUUAAUUGUUAUGAUUUCGAUAUUUUAUUAAUUAUUAUCCUGGUCAGGUAUCAAUAUCUUAUCAAUCA
rnacentral:lncRNA from 1 species